AUUUGGUGUGGGGGAAGGUGGUGUGCGUGUCAAUGGUGGUGACAUGACAUGCCCUCUUUCUGGCCCCGCCCCUAAUAGUGGGCUGAUCUGCCUUUAAUUGCCCGGGCUGAAUUUUUGUCCCAGUCCGGCCCUGGUCGGGGGGGCUAUGGAUUUAUCACUAUGGAUGGGACGGGUGUCGUGGGGGUGGGGGCUAUGGAUUUAUCACUAUGGAUGGGACGGGUGUCUGUGGGGGGCUAUGGAUUUAUCACUAUGGAUGGGAUGGGACUAUGGAUUU